rnacentral:rRNA from 1 species
CGUCUAGGCGGUCUGGAAAGUUGGGUGUGAAAUCCCUCGGCUUAACCGAGGAACUGCACUCAAAACUAUCAAACUAGAGUAUGGCAGAAGUGAACGGAAUUCUGAGUGUAGCGGUGGAAUGCGUAGAUAUUCAGAAGAACACCAGUGGCGAAGGCGGUUCACUAGGCCAAUACUGACGCUGAAGCGCGAAAGCCAGGGGAGCGAACG